rnacentral:rRNA from 1 species
ACAAAUUGGUGAGACGUCUGGAGGAUACCUCGCCCAAAUGCUCAGGCGCCCGAGGAUGAGUCUGCGGCCGAUUAGGUCGUUGGCGGUGUAACGGACCACCAAGCCAUAGAUCGGUACGGGCGUUGAGAGACGGAGCCCGGAGAUGGGGGCUGAGACACGGCCCCAGGCCCUACGGGGCGCAGCAGGCGCGAAAACUCCGCAAUUCGCGAAAGCGUGACGGGGGAACUCCAAGUGCUGCAGCGUAAGUUGUAGCUUUUGUUUAGCGUAAAUAACUAUUCGAAUAAGGGCUGGGUAAGACCGGUGCCAGCCGCCGCGGUAACACCGGCAGCUCGAGUGGUGACCAUUAUUAUUGGGCCUAAAGCGUUCGUAGCCGGUUCGGUAAGUCCUUGGGUAAAUCCUGGCGCUCAACGUCAGGAAUUCUAGGGAUACUGCCAGACUUGGGACCGAGAGAAGUCAGAGGUACUCCUGGGGUAGCGGUGAAAUGCUGUAAUCCUAGGGGGACCACCAGUGGCGAAGGCGUCUGACUAGAGCGGGUCCGACGGUGAGGAACGAAAGCCAGGGGCGCGAACGGGAUUAGAUACCCCGGUAGUCCUGGCCGUAAACGCUGUGGGCUAGGUGUUGCAUGCUCUACGGGGGCAUGCAGUGCCGAA